rnacentral:rRNA from 1 species
GGGGGGGCCAUUGCAUGCGGGAACGUGAUAGGGAACUCCGAGUGCCCGUAAAAUCGGGCUGUCCAUCUGUUUAAAUAACAGGUGAAGAAAGGGCCGGGCAAGACCGGUGCCAGCCGCCGCGGUAAUACCGGCGGCUCGAGUGGUGGCCACUAUUACUGGGCUUAAAGCGUUCGUAGCUGGUCUGUUAAGUCUCUGGGGAAAUCUACUGGCUUAACCAAUAGGCGUCUCAGGGAUACUGGCAGACUAGGGACCGGGAGAGGUGAGAGGUACUCCUGGGGUAGAGGUGAAAUCCUGUAAUCC